rnacentral:rRNA from 1 species
UUGCUUCUUGCGGCGACCGGCGCACGGGUGAGUAACACGUAUCCAACCUGCCCUUUACUCGGGGAUAGCCUUUCGAAAGAAAGAUUAAUACCCGAUAGCAUAAUGAUUCCGCAUGGUUUCAUUAUUAAAGGAUUCCGGUAAAGGAUGGGGAUGCGUUCCAUUAGGUUGUUGGUGGGGUAACGGCCCACCAAGCCUUCGAUGGAUAGGGGUUCUGAGAGGAAGGUCCCCCACAUUGGAACUGAGACACGGUCCAA